rnacentral:rRNA from 1 species
CCUACGGGAGGCUGCAGUAGGGAAUAUUGGACAAUGGAGGAAACUCUGAUCCAGCCAUCCCGCGUGAAGGAUUAAGGUCCUAUGGAUUGUAAACUUCUUUUCUUUGGGAAUAAAAUCUCCGAUUCCUCGGAGCUUGAAGGUACCAGGGGAAUAAGCACCGGCUAACUCCGUGCCAGCAGCCGCGGUAAUACGGAGGGUGCAAGCGUUAUUGGGUUUCAAGGGGGCUAAGGGGUGCUUGGAAGGUUUUGUAGAAAGCCUACAGCUUAACUGUAGAAUUGCCAUUGAUACUGCUUAACUUGAAUCAAGUCGAAGUGGAUGGAAUAGAUCAUGUAGCGGUGAAAUGCUUAGAUAUGAUUUAGAACACCAAUUGCGAAGGCAGUUCACUAGGCUUGUAUUGACACUGAGGCACGAAAGCGUGGGGAUCAAACAGGAUUAGAUACCCUAGUAGUC